rnacentral:tRNA from 1 species
GAACCCAUAGCUCAAUGAUUAGAGCAUUGGACUUCUAAUCAACAGGGCGCGGAUUCAAGCCUCGUGUGAUUCA